AUUGAACGCUGGCGGCAGGCCUAACACAUGCAAGUCGAGCGAGCGGCGGACGGGUGAGUUAUGACUGGGAAUUGCCCAGUCGAGGGGGAUAACAGUUGGAAACGACUGCUAAUACCGCAUACGAUUGGAUUGCCCAGGUGGGAUUAGCAAGUUGGUGAGGUAAUGGCGCACAAAGGCGACGAUACCUAGAUGGUUUGAGAGGAUCAACAGCCACACUUGGACUGAGACACAGUGCAGAGUCAUACGGUAGGCAGCAGUGGGGAAUAUUGGACAAAGGGGUAAACCCUGAUGAAGCCAUGCCGCGUGUGGGAAGAAGGCCUUCGGGUUGUAAAGCACUUUCAGCGAGGAGGCGUUACUCGCAGAAGAAGCACCGGCUAACUCCGUGCCAGCCGCCGCGGUAAUAC
rnacentral:rRNA from 1 species